AUAGAUGUGGAAGUUUUCGGAUGGAAGCGUGUAUGACUGAGCGGCGGACGGGUGAGUAACGCGUGGGUAACCUGCCUCAUACAGGGGGAUAACAGUUAGAAAUGACUGCUAAUACCGCAUAAGCGCACAGGACCGCAUGGUCUGGUGUGAAAAACUCCGGUGGUAUGAGAUGGACCCGCGUCUGAUUAGCUGGUUGGUGAGGUAACGGCCCACCAAGGCGACGAUCAGUAGCCGACCUGAGAGGGUGGCCGGCCACAUUGGGACUGAGACACGGCCCAAACUCCUACGGGAGGCAGCAGUGGGGAAUAUUGCACAAUGGGGGAAACCCUGAUGCAGCAACGCCGCGUGAGUGAAGAAGUAUUUCGGUAUGUAAAGCUCUAUCAGCAGGGAAGAGAAUGACGGUACCUGACUAAGAAGCCCCGGCUAACUACGUGCCAGCAGCCGCGGUAAUACGUAGGGGGCAAGCGUUAUCCGGAUUUACUGGGUGUAAAGGGAGCGUAGACGGCUGUACAAGUCUGAAGUGAAAGCCCGUGGCUCAACCGCGGAACUGCUUUGGAAACUGUAAAGCUGGAGUACUGGAGAGGCAGGCGGAAUUCCUAGUGUAGCGGUGAAAUGCGUAGAUAUUAGGAGGAACACCAGUGGCGAAGGCGGCCUGCUGGACAGAAACUGACGUUGAGGCUCGAAAGCGUGGGGAGCAAACAGGAUUAGAUACCCUGGUAGUCCACGCGGUAAACGAUGAAUGCUAGGUGUUGGUGGGCAAAGCCCAUCGGUGCCGUCGCAAACGCAGUAAGCAUUCCACCUGGGGAGUACGUUCGCAAGAAUGAAACUCAAAGGAAUUGACGGGGACCCGCACAAGCGGU
rnacentral:rRNA from 1 species